rnacentral:rRNA from 1 species
AGAGUUCGAUCCUGCUCAGGAUUGAAAGCUGGCGGCAUGCUUACACAUUGCAAGUCGAACGGGAAGUGGUGUUUUCCAGUGGCGAACGGUGAGUAACGCGUAAGAACCUGCCGUGGGAGGUGAACAACAACUGGAAACGGUUGCUAAGACCCCGUAGGCUGGGAGCAAAAGGAGAAAUCCGCCCAAGGAGGGCUCCCCCCCCGCGUUUUUUUUGUUAGCUAGUUGAGAGGCAAUAGCUACCAGGCGAUGAUCAGUAGCUGUCGAGAGGAUGAUCAAGCCACACUGGGACUGGGACACGGCCACAGGCCCUCCUACGGGAGGCAGAGUGGGGAAUUUUCCGCAAUUGGGCGAAAGCCGACGGAGCAAUGCGCGUGGGGUGGAAGGCCUACGGGUCGUAAAUUCUUUCUCGGAGAAGAAGAAACAUGACGGUAUUGAGGAAUAAGCACGGCUAAACUCUGUGCCAGCAGCCGCGGUAAGACAGAGGAUGCAGCGUUAUCCGGAAAUGUUGGGACGUAAAGGUCUGUAGGUGCUUUUCAAGCCGCCGUUCAAAUUCCCAGGGCUCAACCCUGGACAGGCGGUGGAAAACUACAAGCUGGAGUACGGUAGGGGAGAGGGAAUUUCCGGUGGAGCGGUGAAAUUGCAUGAGAUCGGAAAGAACACCAACGGCGAAAGCACUCUGCUGGGCCGACACUGACACUGAGAGACGAAAGCUAGGGGAGCAAUGGGAUUAGAGGACCCCAGUAGUCCUAGCAGUAAACGUGGAUACUAGGUGCUGUGCGACUCGACCGUGCAGUGCUGUAAGCGAACGCGUUUAAAGUAUCCCGCAUGGGGAGUACGUUCGCAAGAAAUGAAACUCACAGGAUGGACGGGGGCCCGCACAAGCGGUGGAGCAUGUGGUUAUUCGAUGCAAAGCGAAGAACCUUCCAGGGCUUGACAUGCGCGAAGCCUCUGGAAGAGAGGGGUGCCCUAGGGAACGCGGACACAGGUGGUGCAUGGCUGUCGCAGCUCGUGCCGUAAAAAGGUGUUGGUUAAGUCUCGCAACGAGCGCAACCCCUCGUGUUAGUUGCACUAUGAGUUGGACCUGAACAGACCGCCGGUGUUAAGCCGGAGGAAGGAGAGGAUGAGGCCAAGUCAUUCAUGCCCCAUGCCCUGGGCGACACACGUGCUACAAUGGGCGGGACAAAGGGUCGCGAUCUCGCGAGGGUGAGCUAACUCCAAAAACCGUCUCAGUUCGGAUUGCAGGCGCAACUCCGCCUGCAUGAAGCAGAAUCGCCUAGUAAUCGGCCGCAGUCAGCAAUACGGCGGUGAAUCGUUCCGGGCCUUGUACACACCGCCCGUCACACUAUAGGAGCGGCCAGCGUUGAAGGUCAUUACCUUAACCGUAAGGAGGGGGUGCAUAGGCUAGGUUGCGACGGAGUGCAGUAGUAACAAGGUAGCCGUACUGGAAGGUGCGGCUG